rnacentral:rRNA from 1 species
UACAGAGGGUGCGAGCGUUAAUCGGAAUUACUGGGCGUAAAGCGCGCGUAGGCGGCUCUGCAAGUCGGGUGUGAAAUCCCCAGGCUUAACCUGGGAACUGCAUUCGAGACUGCAUUGCUAGAGUAUGGGAGAGGGAAGUGGAAUUUCCGGUGUAGCGGUGAAAUGCGUAGAUAUCGGAAGGAACAUCAGUGGUGAAAGCGACUUCCUGGACCAAUACUGACGCUCAUGUGCGAAAGCGUGGGGAGCAAACAGG